rnacentral:lncRNA from 1 species
GCUAUUAGAGUUCUGUUGUGACUAUAGCUGCAAAUUACAUUUUGUAAGAAUUCCUAUUACAUAUCUCCAAUUUCACAGAAAAAAUUGACUGUAUUUUUUGAUGGAGGAAGAUCAAGACCUUUCCCAAAUCCACUCCGAUUAUCUGAAGUAUUCCCUUGUUUAAAAUCUGAAAGCCCCAUAAAAGUUAGGAAGUGUUCAUGAUUAAAAUCAAGAUACACAUUGUCAUUUUAAGUGCAUAUUUGGUACGCAGUGUGAAUGGAUUCGACUAUAUAAUGAACAGGAUCUCAAUUUCCUAUUUUUUUCCUUCAGUUUUGCAUUGAGUAUUUCCUGUCAAACAUACUCCAAUUCUCAGAGAAAGUAAUUGAAGAUUAGAAGAGAACCAACCAAUUCAACAAUGAAAGUGCCAGUGAGGCCAAUCAUACAGGCUCUUGAAUUCCAAAUUUCAGCCGUUUCUGUGAAGCCAAUGAAAGGUGCAUUGAAAUUUGGCUCUUGUUUUGGCAGUUCCACCUGAAAAUUGAAAUGUUUAAUGCCCAUUACUUCCCUUAAAUUCAUAUGACGUAAUAUUUCCCAUCAAGUAUGUGAAUCUUCAAUGUAAGAGACGCAUAUAGUGACAAAGUUUUACGCUGGCUAUUAAUCUAUUGCACUUCUCUUCUUUUCAAUAUACUCUGGAGGCGCUGUAAAUAAAGAAAAACAAUAUUUUAUCAGAAAGAAGAAAAAUGAAAAAUGCACAUACUCCAAAAGGAAGUUUUGCUACUUGAACUUUGAUUCUUCGAAAGAGACACGGAGUUUCUGCUAUUGGCAUUGUGCGUAUACACGGGCGAAAAAUUGAUACUCUGGACAUCUUUUUUUAGAGCUCCA